UCCCUCUUCUAGUAAAAGUACCAGUUUGCUGGGUGCACAGGCCUGUGCCUAUAAUCUCAGCACUGAGGGAGGCUGAGGCAGGAGGAU
rnacentral:miRNA from 1 species